CCUACGGGUGGCAGCAGUGGGGAAUAUUGGACCAUGGGCGAAAGCCUGAUCCAGCCAUGCCGCGUGUGUGAAGAAGGCCUUCGGGUUGUAAAGCACUUUCAGUGGGGAAGAAAGCCUUGGGGCUAAUACCCUCGAGGAAGGACAUCACCCACAGAAGAAGCCCCGGCUAACUCCGUGCCAGCAGCCGCGGUAAUACGGAGGGUGCGAGCGUUAAUCGGAAUUACUGGGCGUAAAGCGCGCGUAGGCGGUCUGAUAAGCCGGUUGUGAAAGCCCCGGGCUCAACCUGGGAACGGCAUCCGGAACUGGCAGGCUAGAGUGCAGGAGAGGAAGGUAGAAUUCCCGGUGUAGCGGUGAAAUGCGUAGAGAUCGGGAGGAAUACCAGUGGCGAAGGCGGCCUUCUGGACUGACACUGACGCUGAGGUGCGAAAGCGUGGGUAGCAAACAGGAUUAGAUACCCCGGUAGUC
rnacentral:rRNA from 1 species